AGAGCGCGUGUGGCGGCCGAGCACAUGGGCCCGCGGGCCGGGCGGGCUCGGGGCGGCCGGGACGAGGAGGGGCGACGACGAGCUGCGAGCAAAGAUGUGCCCCGGGACCCCCGGCACCUUCCAGUGGAUUUCCUUGCGGAAAGGAUGUUGGCGGUCCCUGUGACCUGUGGAGACACGGCCAGAUCUGCCCUCCAGACCAUAGCUGUCUGCAGUGCAGGAAGCCAACUAUUAAGGGGAAACAAAAGUGUUCUUAGGAGUCCUGCUGUCACUGUGGAUUGAGCCGGUGAAGCCCUGAGGGAUUUCAUCGCUGAGGUGGAUGGAGAAGCAGCUGGGGGCCUUGGCUGUAAGGACCCCUAAGGGCCUGAUCUUUUGGCCAGAAGGAGAUUAAAAAGAUGCCCCUCAAGAUGGCUGUGCCUGUCAGCUGCAUGGAGCUUCGUUCAAGUAUUUUCUGAGCCUGAUGGAUUUACAGUGAUCUUCAGUGGUCUGGGGAAUAACGCUGGUGGAACCAUGCACUGGAAUGACACACGCCCGGCACAUUUCAGGAUACUAAAAGUGGUUUUAAGGGAGGCUGUGGCUGAAUGCCUCAUGGAUUCUUACAGCUUGGAUGUCCAUGGGGGACGAAGGACUGCAGCUGGCUGAGAGGGUUGAGAUCUCUGUUUACUUAGAUCUCUGCCAACUUCCUUUGGGUCUCCCUAUGGAAUGUAAGACCCCGACUCUUCCUGGUGAAGCAUCUGAUGCACGUUCCA
rnacentral:lncRNA from 1 species